AUGGGAACGCGAAGAACCUUACCUAGACUUGACAUCUCCUGAAUAGUGUAGAGAUACAUGAAGCCCUUCGGGGCAGGAAGACAGGUGGUGCAUGGUUGUCGUCAGCUCGUGUCGUGAGAUGUUGGGUUAAGUCCCGCAACGAGCGCAACCCUUAUUACUAGUUGCUACCAUUAAGUUGAGCACUCUAGUGAGACUGCCCGGGUUAACCGGGAGGAAGGCGGGGAUGACGUCAAAUCAUCAUGCCCCUUAUGUCUAGGGCAACACACGUGCUACAAUGGUGAGUACAGAUAGAUGCGAUACCGCAAGGUGGAGCCAAACUCUAAAACUCAUCCCAGUUCGGAUUGUAGGUUGCAACUCGCCUACAUGAAGUUGGAGUUGCUAGUAAUCGCGAAUCAGAAUGUCGCGGUGAAUACGUUCCCGGGUCUUGUACACACCG
rnacentral:rRNA from 1 species